rfam:Populus trichocarpa isolate Nisqually-1 chromosome 6, whole genome shotgun sequence.
UAAACUAUCUGGGAUAGAUCAUCAUCUAGUUAUGGCAAAUUCACACUUGAUUUCUCAGAAUCACUUGUUAAGCUCGGCUACAUCAUGCAUCCUAGAUUGGUAA